rnacentral:rRNA from 1 species
GGCGAGUUUGAUCCUGGCUCAGGACGAACGCUGGCGGCGUGCUUAACACAUGCAAGUCGAACGAUGAAGCCGCUUCGGUGGUGGAUUAGUGGCGAACGGGUGAGUAACACGUGGGCAAUCUGCCCUGCACUCUGGGACAAGCCCUGGAAACGGGGUCUAAUACCGGAUAUUACCUGGUGAGGCACCUUACUGGGUGGAAAGCUCCGGCGGUGCAGGAUGAGCCCGCGGCCUAUCAGCUUGUUGGUGGGGUGAUGGCCUACCAAGGCGACGACGGGUAGCCGGCCUGAGAGGGCGACCGGCCACACUGGGACUGAGACACGGCCCAGACUCCUACGGGAGGCAGCAGUGGGGAAUAUUGCACAAUGGGCGAAAGCCUGAUGCAGCGACGCCGCGUGAGGGAUGACGGCCUUCGGGUUGUAAACCUCUUUCAGCAGGGAAGAAGCGAAAGUGACGGUACCUGCAGAAGAAGCGCCGGCUAACUACGUGCCAGCAGCCGCGGUAAAGU